CGCAACAACCAACCACAAACCUGUUUUUGCUUUGUUACCGACGACGUUUCCUCGCUGUAAUCGCAGCCUGUGGCGUUGCGCGUAGCUGACAGAACAGGUUAAGAGAGCAAGACUAAUAACUGUUUUCAUUCUUAAACGCCUGUGUCUUCCUGCAAGGCCUGGCGGGUGUUAUCACAGGGAGAUAAACAGCAGGAAGCCAUAUAUGCCUGAGGUGAUUGCAUUUCCCUGCUUUCAUCACAUAAACACAUGCAGAAAGCACAACUGACACACCUGGUACAGAAAAGUACCUUAAGUUCAAUAUCAGAGAUUAGGUGCAGGAUGGAGCUGCAGGGGUUUCAACAUAUAUAUACUGUAUGUAUAUGCAAAAUAUAUAUACACACAAAGGCUUCCAGCAGAACAAGUCUAAACAGAAUCCAGUUUAAAUUGUUUUUCUGUCUUAUCAGGUAUCCUUGGAGUCAUCAAAAUCAGGGUUUCUUGCACCAGCGGAGGUUGAGGAUGGCCCACCAGGGAUGCGGAG